UACGAAGGGGGCUAGCGUUGUUCGGAAUUACUGGGCGUAAAGCGCGCGCAGGCGGCUAUCCAAGUCAGUGGUGAAAGCCCGGAGCUCAACUCCGGAACUGCCAUUGAGACUGUUUAGCUUGAGGACGAGAGAGGUGAGUGGAAUUCCCAGUGUAGAGGUGAAAUUCGUAGAUAUUGGGAAGAACACCGGUGGCGAAGGCGGCUCACUGGCUCGUUUCUGACGCUCAGGCGCGACAGCGUGGGGAUCAAACAGG
rnacentral:rRNA from 1 species